rnacentral:rRNA from 1 species
UACGGAGGGGGCUAGCGUUGUUCGGAAUUACUGGGCGUAAAGCGCACGUAGGCGGCUUUGUAAGUUAGAGGUGAAAGCCCAGGGCUCAACCCUGGAAUUGCCUUUAAGACUGCAUCGCUUGAACAUCGGAGAGGUAAGUGGAAUUCCGAGUGUAGAGGUGAAAUGCGUAGAUAUCCGGAGGAACACCAGUGGCGAAAGCGGCCACCUGGACUGUACCUGACGCUGACACGCGAAAGCUAGGGGAGCGAACGGG